GGUGGCUCAGUGGUAAAGCACUUGCCUUGCAUGCAUGAGGCCCUGGGUUCGAUUCCUUAGCACCA
rnacentral:tRNA from 1 species